rnacentral:rRNA from 1 species
UGGGGAAUAUUGCACAAUGGGCGAAAGCCUGAUGCAGCAACGCCGCGUGAGUGAUGAAGGCCUUCGGGUUGUAAAGCUCUGUCUUUUGGGACGAUAAUGACGGUACCAAAGGAGGAAGCCACGGCUAACUACGUGCCAGCAGCCGCGGUAAUACGUAGGUGGCAAGCGUUGUCCGGAUUUACUGGGCGUAAAGGAUGCGUAGGCGGAUUUUUAAGUGAGAUGUGAAAACCCUAAGCUUAACUUGGGGACUGCAUUUCAUACUGGAAAUCUAGAGUGCGGGAGAGGAGAAUGGAAUUCCUAGUGUAGCGGUGAAAUGCGUAGAGAUUAGGAAGAACACCAGUGGCGAAGGCGAUUCUCUGGACCGUAACUGACGCUGAGGCAUGAAAGCGUGGGUAGCAAACAGGAUUAGAUACCCUGGUAGUCCACGCCGUAAACGAUGAGUACUAGGUGUAGGAGGUAUCGACCCCUUCUGUGCCGCAGUUAACACAAUAAGUACUCCGCCUGGGAAGUACGAUCGCAAGA